UCUUAUAAAGAAUGAGACGUUUUAGGUCUUCCAUUGGAAAGUGCUUUAAGCUUUCUCUUCUCUCUACCCAUCCUUCUUUCUCACGGUCGGCUACACGCUUUCACCCACGAGCACGACGUCUCCUCCCUCAAUCUCAGAGCCCUCUCUCACAGGCACUGUCGUAGACCGUCCCCCCUCUCCCGUCGCCGAUCCUCCCUCUCUCAAUCUCGGAUCUCGUCGCAGACCCUUCUUCUCACAAUCUCAGAGCCACCCAUUAAGUUGCCCAUCUUCUCUUGAUUCUCGGCGAAAACAUAGAGCAUCCCAGGCUUGUUCUUAUCCAUUUACAUCAGGAGUGAAAUGGCUAAAAGAGAUAUCUUGGAUACAUUAAACUUUUUAUAAUUUGUGUAAAGAGUUUAUAAUUUGUGUAAUUAUGUUACAAGUUUUUUUUUCCAAAAUUAAUUAAGAACUUAUAUAACAUAAUAAAACAAUUUAGGUCCAAAGCCUAAAUUACAAUCUCAAAUAGAAUAAUAAAACUGAGAAAAAAUAGGUUCAA